ACUCAAAGGAAUAGACGGGGACCCGCACAAGCGGUGGAGCAUGUGGAUUAAUUCGAUACUAACCGAAGAACCUUACCCAGGUUUGACAUCGAUGGCAACUCUAUGAAAGUAGAGCCUCUUCCCACAAGGAAGACCUGAAGACACUUGUUGCAUGGCUGUCGUCAGCUCGUGCCGUGAGGUGUACGGUUAAGUCCGCCAACGAGCGCAACCCUCGUCCUAUGUUACCAGCGAGUAAAGUCGGGGACUCAUAGGAGACCGCCGGUGUAAGCCGGAGGAAGGUGGGGAUGAUGUCAAGUCAGCAUGGCAGUUACACCUGGGGCUUCACACAUGCUACAAUGGGCACAACAAAGGGCAGCAAUACCGCGAGGUGGAGCCAAUCCCAAAAAUAUGUCCUCAGUUCAGAUUGCAGUCUGCAACUCGACUGCAUGAAGGCGGAAUCGCUAGUAAACGCAGGUCAGCUAUACUGCGUUGAAUACGUUCCCGGGUCUUGUACACACCGCCCGU
rnacentral:rRNA from 1 species